AACGAAUGGAUUAAGAGCUUGCUCUUAUGAAGUUAGCGGCGGACGGGUGAGUAACACGUGGGUAACCUGCCCAUAAGACUGGGAUAACUCCGGGAAACCGGGGCUAAUACCGGAUAACAUUUUGAACUGCAUGGUUCGAAAUUGAAAGGCGGCUUCGGCUGUCACUUAUGGAUGGACCCGCGUCGCAUUAGCUAGUUGGUGAGGUAACGGCUCACCAAGGCAACGAUGCGUAGCCGACCUGAGAGGGUGAUCGGCCACACUGGGACUGAGACACGGCCCAGACUCCUACGGGAGGCAGCAGUAGGGAAUCUUCCGCAAUGGACGAAAGUCUGACGGAGCAACGCCGCGUGAGUGA
rnacentral:rRNA from 1 species